rnacentral:lncRNA from 1 species
CGCCGGGCUCCCGUGCAGGCUGGGUGAGGGCUGCGGUGCGACCCGACGACCGCGCAGAGGCAGAGGAGGGCGCGCGAGCUCGCGGAUGAGGGGCUGAGCAGGGCGUCGCGGCGGGGCGCUGGUCCGGUGAUCCCGACAGUGCCGCGGGAGAGGCGCGCGCCAGCCGGGACACGCGGGCGAGCGUCACCGAGCGCGGAGGGCCGGGCUCCCGCGUUCAGGCCCUGUGCUGCUGGGCGUGUGUGAAGCGUGCCCGCGAAACCGUCCCAGUUUAAAAAGAGCACAGUUCGCGAUUUGGCUGCAUAGGUUCAGUGUACUGCCAGUGCUUAUUGGCAUUUUCGUUUAUUUGUCCCAAACGUGUGCAUGGCCCCGAGAAGGAAGGCAGACCCCCGAGACAGGUCCAGGUCCCAGCUCAGUGGUGUUUGCAGUGUUUGGCCGGGGAAGACUUGGCGAGGGCCAGGAAGUCCGAGGCGAUGGAACAGGGCCGGGGACUCAGCUCAGUGGUGCCGCCGCCUGCUUCGCAAGCGCAAGGUCCCGAGUUCGAUCCCCGGUACCAAAAAAAAAGCGAUGGAAAGAACCACCUCUUGCUUCCCAUUUAGACCUGCCGUGUGCAGAGCUGAGGACUGGGUGUAGACUUCACAAAAUGAAGGGCGAAUUUGUCCGACCUGUUACUACCUAUUAGGUAUUUCUAGGCCCAACUGAAGAGUCAUGGUGUUUUGUUGUUGUUGACUUUGACAAAAACCACUUUUAAGUUGUUGACUGUCACAGAAGUAGCACAGACCAUGCUUAUAUUUCCCCUUGAGAUAGGGUCUUGAUACAUAGCUCAGGAGGGUCUUGAACUCACUGUGCACCCCAGGUUGGCCUUGAACUUGCAGGCAUCGUCCUCCCUCUGCCUGCCAAGUGCUGGAAUUGCAGGUGUGCACCAACACGCCUGGCUAAAUCAUGCUUAUUUUUUUGUGCCGGGGAUCAAACUCAGGACCUUGCACUUGCGAGGCAGGUGUGGUGCCACUGAGCUACAUCCCCAGCCCCUUAAAUCAUGUUGUGGAGCCAAGCUGAGCCCACACCCUGAGAAACCAGAACUAAAGGAGCAGAUGGAAGAGAGAAAGUCUGCACAAGUGGAGGAAGAAAAUCCCCCAGAAUGGAUAAGGUCAUGGUAGACUAGGUGGAAACCAAAAUUGGGGAGGAAAAGUUGGAUAAGAAACUGUAGGGUGGGCUGGGAUUUAGCUCAGUGGCACCACGCCUGCCUUGCAAGUGCAAGGUCCUGAGUUUGAUCUGCAGUGUCAAAAAAAACAAGAAGAAAGAAACUGCAGGGAAGCUGAGGAUGGCGCAUGUCCUCCAGCCUUCCAGGCACAGCCUGCACCAAGCAGUGCGGUCAGGAGGGAAAGGGAUUCCACCGUGGAUUCAUGCGCCAGGUCAAGGAGCUCCCCUGGGUGGACUCAGAGCAGGAUUAUGUGGCCUGGAAGUGCCCAGUCCGAGGGAGGGAAGAGAGCACUGUGAGGGCCCGGCCCAGGCCCCAGGGACUAGAAUCUGGAGCCGCCCUCAUUGUAGGUGCCAGGCGAGUGUGAGGAGUGUGAGCAUGGGGGGAAUGCCUUGGCCAGAGAAGGUGGAGACCGCACCUUCAGCUGUUCUGCUGUGACUUAGGGAGGUGCAGGACGGGGGACUCCUGCCUCAGAACUAGUGAGAUUCUUCUGUCCUCCUCCACUUGCAACCAGUGAAGAUUUGGACACAGCAUCUCUCACAGACUUAGUAAUUGUUCAGGUUUUCUCACCCUGUGUUAAAACUUGGGAGUUUAGAUAACAGAAAGACGUUCUCACUUUCCCAAAGCUCUAGAGGGAGAACACAAGCAGUUUGAACACCAUGUGGCAUUUACCCUGCAGUAGGGGUGUGGCAGCACAGAAUGUGGUGGACAGGGCGGAGAUGCUGUGCUUCGGGACAGGAGAGCAGCAGAGGAGGCCCUGAGCACAGUCCCAUUUCACCAGAGCUUGCAGGUGGGCAUCAGCAGGCGGGGCUGUGUGGGCAGGCUGCUCUCUCAGGUGGUGACGGUUUCCUCUGGAGAAGGAGCCUGUGUGUGACAGGACACCCAGGACAUGUGGGCAGAAAUACCUUUGCAGUGAUGAGAUGUUUGCAAUCACGUCAGUGCUGUCAUUGAGCAAGCACUGUUCAGAUCCUUCUCCAUGCUGGGCCCUAAGCUGGAAACUGUGCAGACAGAGCCAAAGAAACUGUCAUCCCAGCAUCCCCAGAGCUCUCAGACACGAAAAGCAGCAAGUGAUGGGAAGGACUCGGACAAAGAAGCCGCUGCUGGGUGGGACUGCAUCGGUGUUUGUGUUAAUUCUCCAUCUGGCUUCUCCCGCAGCUGCCACACCUGUCUGAAGGUAAUGACUGUGACCUCUCAAAAUAUCACCACCUCCUUGGCUCCAGGUUGGCUGAAGGCCACUCACAUUGCUCAGGUCUGAGGAUGCAGGUGACCUCAUCAGUGUCCCCUGACCGUGUCCCUGUCAGCUGCAGAAACCAAGAGGCAAGGUCAGUAAAACUUACAGGUUUCUCCCUGCCAUGUUACCCUCAUGUUCUUGGCUCUGUCAGGUAAGAGCUUUUAAACUUCACUCUUCUGUCUGCAUGAAGGCAAAUUACAUACUGGUCAUAUUCCUCAAACUGUAAUACUUGUUUUAUCCUCAAAUUUGAAAUAAAAUAGGGUAAAAAAUGAAGCCCUUCAUAUAGGGGUGUGUGAGACUAAAAUUCAGGUUUUACGAUGCUCAAGUGGUUGAAGAACAUGUUUUUAUUCUGCUAAAACAAGAAUGAGCUAAUACCCCUGCUGUGCUCCUCUUGUUGGCCUUAUCAGAUAUAAAAGCUCUACUGAGCUCCAGAGCUUAGAUCUGCAGCAGUUUAGCUCAUGCAGUGCAUUUGCUGCCCUGUGCUUAAAACACUGCUGGUUACACAGGGGACGCAGAGUUGGGCACGGCAGCCCUUAGAGGAGCUUCGCGUAUUUGCACCAGGGUCACUAAGGACUGUCAGUACCUUCUGUGACAACAUCUCUCGUGGACAGUUCUGAGCCCACUCUGGAGAAAGGGAAGAGGACAGUGACGGGGCACAGCCCUGGGCUCUCUGCCUCCCAAAGAUUUAGGAUGAAAGGACCCUGGGGAAUCUCUUCGGGGAGUGUCCUACAGGUGAGGGUUCACACACACUUCGCAUGGCUCCCAUCCCUGGUUUCCUUUCACAGAUAAUCGUCAGAUUUAGCAACAUCAGGAGGAGCCAGCCAGACAUGGACUGCAGAGCCUCAGUUCAAGAUGCUGCUGAGAAAGUGAAGCAGGCAGGAGUCAGUGCCGGAGAGGGGUCCAUGUCGGUGUCGGGAGAGCGCAUUGGUGGCCUUCAGCAGUGGUGGUGAAUCCUGGAGAGACGUCUGUCCCCAGGAGUCCCCGAUGACAGCUCCAGAUGCCAGAUGACUAAUAGAACCACUCCCUUGUGUUGACCUCACAGGAAGUCCUUGGAUGUACAUCUACUGCUACCGAGGUCACCAUGGCAGUACCACGCAGCCCCAGUCCAGGGGCUGAAGUGAAUGUUGUGGAGUUCAAGGAGUAUAAGUGCUCUUGGGUGGGAGACAAUGAACUGCAAUUUGAAGACCGCAGAUCAAGUUCCGUUAGACCUGAAGCAGCUCUUGGCUCCCUGGACACCAAAGUGCAGAAACGUGAAAGUCACCUUGUAGCCUGGGUUGGGCUUGAACUUGCAGCAUUCUGCCUCCUUCAGCCUCCUGAGUGGCUAAGAUUACAGACUUGCAAAGACAAAUGUGCCCUUCAGCCCGGCCAGUGGCAGCACCCUGCUUCAGGGCAGCUGCGUGCGAGCCAGGAAGUCGGUGGUUGGCGGAAUGCACGGAGCAUCCCCAGGUGCCAGGCUGCAGGCAUGAUGUCGCCUGCCUGCCUGCCGUGUUGGAUCUUAACACCUAUGACUCUCAGGAGACCCGACUGCUCUGUCGCCACCUCCUGGCCGGGAGGAGUUGUCCUGUUCACAGGUGAAGCGUGGGGUGCAGCCACGCGCAAAGUCACAAGGCCAGUGGGUAGUGGGGCAGCAGGGCCGCAGCGCUCUCCCUUCCACUCGUGCUCUCAGGGCAGAGGGCACAGCUGCGGCCGGGGCCCUCUCGGGGCUGAGCAGGCACGGGGCCUGCAAAGUCUCUGUGUCCAACAGCAGACGCCUGGGAGUGCAACCACAGGACUACCCACAGUGAGGGGUUCCAGGACGGUGACGGGAGUGAGGAGCCAGGUCUGCCUCAGCCCACCAGCCCUGAGGAGCAGCUUCCGGGUAAGAACCAACUUAGGAUCCCCUUCUGGUGGCCACAGUGCAGGACAGAUACCACCUGUGACCCUCAGCCUCUCAUGCUGUCCCUGGGGUAGGAAUGUGGGCUGUGGCUGAGGAAUGGGAAGACCCAGGUCCCCAAACUGCUCCCAGAGCUGCUGUCUCCUGAAAUCCCACCAUCACUCACUCUGCUGGGGCUUUAUCAUUCCUGUGUUCCCGUCCUCCAGCUGACCCG